GUUCUGAUAGAUCAGUGGUAGAUUGUCUCCUUUACACGGAGAAGGUCCUGGGUUCAAUCCCCAGUUAGAACA